UCUCUCUGUCUCUCUCUCUCAUUAAAUGUCUAUAUAUUAUUAUAUAUGAUUUAUAAAUUGUUGUCUGGGCAAUGAUAUGACCAGGUUUAUUUUGUGUUUUUGGUUUCUGAUUUUGGUAGUCGUGCUGUUUGCUCAGUUCAUUUGAGUCAUCUGGCCAGCUAUGUGCCUCCCGUUUUCGAAUCUACUUAUGCUUAUUUUUUAAAAAAAAUAUUUAUUUUUGUGUUUUUAUUUUGUAUUAGAAACGUUUCACGUUUUCCGUUUCGACUUUCAUGUAAUAUAGCUGACCAGUUGGGCGCAUGGGUCCAGGUGCCCUUCCCAAUCCUGCCCUCUGCCUCACCUAUUUGCAUUUACCAUCAAUUAACUCUGGAAAAAAGAACAAUAGAUGAAAUUUUUGACAAAUCAAAAGCAGCAAGGUAGAAAAAGAAUGAGCGAAAUCAAGAAGCAUAGUCAUGUAUGCACCUAUCUAGGAUGGUAGAAGAGGGAACGUUGCCCCUAGGACAUAGGUUGGAUGGUAAAAAGAUAAGUGAUAUAUCAGUGUAGUGUGGUAGAUCAUGAGUUUGAUUUUUCCUUACGCAACAGUCAAAGACUUAACUUGCGAUUUAUUUUCCUUGUGUAAUCGAGAACACGGGCACGGAGAGUCGUACAAGAACGAUCAUCCAAGAGAAAAUGCUAAUUUGUAGCAGCUUAUAUGAUUCGCAUAUACUAUACUGUUUUUUGGAUAGUUUAUUUUUUGGGUACGUUUAUUUUGGUUAAACCUGUGGGGUAAGUAUGAGGAUUUAUGCACAUCACAGAAAGCAGAAAUAAUCAUUUUAACCUUUUGGCUAGGUUAGAAAGAACUAAAAAAAUAUAAAUAGUGGAUGCUGCCCAUUGGAAGAAAGAAACCAUCAUUAGGUUAGAAAGAACUAAAAAAAUAUAAAAAUAUCAUUUUAGCAAGUAAGAAGAAAGAAAGCUACCUCAAACUACCUCUGUUGUGUGUGAAAGUGAAACUGCCCAUUGGAAGAAACCAUCCAGAAUCAAUUAAUGGACUGCUGCUUAAAGAAACAACGGUACUGCUGUUAGAUAUUUAGUUUUUUGUACCACUAAUCAUUUGAACCUUUUGGGUGGGUUAGAAAGAACUAAAAAAAUAUAAAUAGUGGAUGUUGUUUGACUAUGGACAUGGCUAUAGAUUUCCUACACAGUGUUCGAAAAUUCGGCCUAGGCGGCCGCCUAAGCGCCGCCUAGGCGCUGAGCGGCAACCGGCCGCAGCGAUUUAGGGCUACUCAGUAGCCCUAUGCGCCAUGGCCGACUAAUCGGUCCGCGGCGCCUAACCGCCUGGGCGGCCGCCUGGGUCGCGCACGACCUGGGCCACCUAGGUCGUGCGCGUCUUGGGCCAACCUUUUUUCCCCCUCCCUUUCUCUAUUUCCCGAUCCCCUUUCCCUUUCUCUCUCUGGUUGUGUUCAUCGCGGCUCCUCUCUCUCUCUCUCUCUCGCCUUCGAUCUCUUCUUGGUUGUUCGCCACCGCCAUUGAUCUCUUCUCUUGGGCUUGCUCUCUCGUUGCUGCCGACCACCUGUUGCCUGUUGGUCGUUCUCUCUCGUCGUCGUUCGCGUCUUGCUGCGGUAUGUAUCCAACCAUCCAUCUUCCUCCGCCAACGCAAGCUUGCCUUUCUGCAACAACUCAGCAGCAAGCAGCAACGCAAAGCUACUCAUGGCUCGCUUGCGUAUUGCUUGCUUGCUGCUUCAACGAGCAACAGUUGAUUUCAUUUCAUUUGAUGAGUUUUAGUUAAAUUUUAAUGUAUAUUAUUGAAAUUAUUCAAUACUCAGGCAAAAACAGGAGUCAGGAAGUGAAAUGAAUGAUUCAGAUAGGACUGGAAGUACGGGAGCAUCGUCCGAGGCCUCCUUAAUUCUUAAAAGGAAGUCAAAUGAUGUCGGAUGGGAGUAUGGAAUGUUAAUUGAUCCGAAAAAUAUGGAUAAAAUUAAAUGUAAGUUGUGUAGUAAAAUUAUGUCUGGAGGUGUUUACAGAGUAAAAGAACACAUUGGCCACAUUUCUGGAAAUGUUUCUGCAUGUCCAAAAUCUUCUCCAACUGAUCAAGCCAAAUGUAAGAAUGCAAUUGCCGAGGCAAAGAAUAAGAGGAAAAAUAAGAAGGAGGAGGAAGAUUUGAUGAGAUCAACUGUUAAUAUCUCCGAAAGAGUGGAAGGGGAUGAUGAAGAUGAAUUGCAAGAGUUAGGUAGCAGAAAAACGUCCCGUACUCUUGGCCCUAUCGAUAAGUUUGCAAGCUCCAUCAGCCCUGAAACUUGUUUGAGUGCGAGAAUGAGCCAAAGGCAACAAACUAUUAGUGAAGCACUAUUUAAAGAGAGAACACAAUCUGUUCGUGAAUAUUGUGCUAGAUGGGUGUAUGAAGCUGGUAUACCUUUCAAUGCGAUUGACAAUGAUAGCUUCAAAUUGUUUGUUGAGGCGGUUGGUCAAUUUGGGCCGGGCUUCAAACCUCCCAGUCAAUACCAAUUGAAGGAACCACUAUUAAAGGGGGAAGUUGACAGAAUAAAAGAGUUAUUGAAGAAGCAUGAAGAAGAGUGGGCACGAACUGGGUGCUCCAUUAUGAUAGAUGCUUGGACAGAUAGAAAAAGGAGGAGCAUCAUGAACCUAUGUGUUAAUUCUAAUGCAAGUACUGCUUUCCUUUCUUCUAGAGAGUCUUCAGAUGAAGCACAUACAAGUGAACUUAUCUUUGAGUAUGUGGAUAAAUGCAUUGAGCAAGUUGGGCCACAAAACGUCAUCCAAGUAGUAACCGACAAUGCUGCCAAUAAUAUGGGAGCGGCAAAAUUAUUGAAGGUGAAGAGGCCAAAUAUCUUUUGGACCUCAUGUGCUACUCACACCAUCAAUUUGAUGCUUGAAAGUAUUGGAAAACUGCCGAAGUAUAAGAAAGUCAUUGAUCAGGCCAAGAGUUUCACAAUCUUCAUUUAUGCACACCAUAAGACCUUGUCCUUAAUGAGGUCAUUUACGAAGAAGAGGGAUAUAGUGAGACCAGGAGUUAUUAGAUUCGCUUCUGCUUUCUUGACUUUACAAAGUUUGAUGGAGAAAAAGGCCCAAUUGAGGGCAAUGUUUACCAGCUCCGAAUAGGAGGAGUGCAAAUGGUCAAAGAUUGUUAAAGGGAAAGCAGCCUAUGCUACUGUGAUGAGCAUUGCUUUUUGGAAUGGUGUGACUAUAUGCCUUAAAGUUUUUGCACCUUUGGUGAAGGUGCUUCGAUUGUUGAUGCGGAUAGAAAGCCUUCUAUGGGCUUUUUAUGUGGAGAGAUUAAGCAAGCAAAGGAAGAUAUUAAGGAGGCCUUAAAUAAUCUUGAAAAGAACUAUAAGCCUAUUAUGGAGAUUAUUGAAGCAAGGGUAAAAGAUAGGCUAGAUAGUCCACUACAUUUUGCAGCUUACCUUUUGAAUCCCUACUACUUUUUCAAGGAUAUGGAUAUACAACUUGAUAAUGAAGUGAUGGAUGGGCUUUUUAACUGUGUGGAGAUGUUUUAUCAUUAUGAUGGUGAAUUGCAAGGCCAUGUUAUAAAUGUUGAGUUGCCAAAGUAUACUCGUAAAGAUGGAGCUUUUGGAAAAUCGUGGGCAACUCAAGGGUGUGCGAAAAAUGAUGACAAUUAUAAUCCAGUUACAUGGUGGAUGACUUAUGGAAAUCAAACUCCAAACUUGCAACGAAUGGCGAGAAAGAUUCUCUCGUUAACCACUAGUUCAUCCGGUUGUGAAAGAAAUUGGAGCACUUUUGAAGGGAUACAUACGAAGAAAAGAAAUAGACUAGACGUGAAUCGAUUGAACAAUCUAGUCUAUGUUCAAUUUAAUGCGAAAUUGAUGAACAAGCACAAAAGGGAGAAGGAAAGGAAUGUUGAUGUGCUACUUGCUAGUGAUGCUAGUAAUGCACAAGGAUGGAUCGUUGAUGGAGAAGAUGAUGAAGAAGUUGAGCCUGGUACGGGGCUCACUUGGGAAGUGGUUGGUGAAGCAUCGGGAGCAGACGAGAUGCUUCAAGCUCGAAGAAGUUCUAGGAUGAGAGAGCUUCAUGAAGAUGAUUUUCAAUCAGAAGAAGAAGAUGAGCAAGAAAUCAAUGAAUUUGAUUUUGAGUCCGAUGAAGAUCGUGUAUUGGAAGAAUAUGGAGAGGAAGAAGACCAAUUAGAUAGUUAGACUUAGAUUCUUCGGAUAUGGUUUAUGUUGUAUUAUUGCUACUUCUACCUUCUUGAACUUAUAACUAAUAUAAUAGUUUAUUUUUUGAGUCUUAAUUCCAUUAUUUCACUUGUCUUUUCAACUUUGAUUUACCUGAAAAUAAUAUCAAAUUACAUCAAAAGGUUUUUAGAAAAAAAAAAAAAAAUCAUUUUUCCUAGUCGCCGCCUAGGCCCCAGCCUGGCGCCCGACUAGCGCCUAGCGCGUUUUUGAACACUGUUCCUACAUGACAAUGGUUUAUUUUAUAGGAUGACUUACGCCCAGCACCUCUGAGAUUUGGUAUAAAUAUAAAGAGUAGCUCUCAUUUUUCAGAAAUUAUACUGAUAACCUCUAUUGAUUAAAAGUUGUAUCAGAUUAUCUUGUGAGGUUAGAUUUACAUUACAUAGGGUGUUCCUGGCAAAUUACAUGAAUUUCUUAAAGUCUGUCUGAUGGAGGGGAGGUUAGUGUAAUUUUGAACAUGUGGGGUUGUAACGCCCCGCUCUUUAGGGCAUUGUAUUUAUGUUAGGAUUUUUUUUUUUUAUAUACUCAAAUCACACUAAAAUCCUCAAUAUUCCCAUAUAAGAAUAGCAUUCCCAAAUUAUAACUAAGGAACGGUAAACUUAAUCAUAAACGAAAGCAGAAUUAGAACCUAAUGAUCUCGUAAAUUAAUACAUAAAAGAUUUAUACCACUUCGUCCAACAUAAUAUUACAAUAUCAAAUACAAAACCAACUGAAAUAAUGGUUCUAGCCCUGGCAUAGGACACACAAAAACUUCCAUCAUGUUCAUGCCUCGAUCACUCCCUUGCUCUUCUAGCCGCUUGUCUCGCUUGGAACGUGGAAUAUUUCAGAGACAGAUAUCCAACAUUAGAAGAUCAAUUUUCUAAGAAAGGGUUAAAAUAACAUGAAUGAAUGAUGCAUGGACAUAUAUAAAUAGAUACUCUAGUAUAACUUCUCAAGCAAACCAGCUCGGCACAGAACCCUAGGUAGUCAUCCCGACAUGCACACAAGGCAACGGGACACCCCUGUACGUUGUUCCAGCAAUACCUUUGAGGAAUUACAGCUACACUAUCAAAGUGAUAUCCCAUCCCAUGCACAAGUAUUAAGAUGUCAAUAAUAUCAUACUAUGAGAAAUAUCACGAUUUCGAUGGGUAUAUGUACAGAUAUGACAAAAUGCUCACAAAUUACAUAUUACUUAGCAACCCUCGGAAAUAGCAUGCAUAUAAAGAAAAAUCUCAUUGCGUAAGCUUCUGGGGUGAAACCACUCACCUUUUGUACAAAAUUUAGUACACCUUGAAAAACAUGCACAACCUCGAUUUUUGUGUUGACCUCGAAAUUCGCACAAUCACUCAAUCUUGAGCCCCAAAGCACCUUAUCCAUCAUAUUUAUUCAAAUAACCAUCAACACCUAUUUUUUCAUUAUUUCUUCCCAUUUUUCUCUAUUUUCUUCCUAUUUUUAUCUUGAAAAAUCCAAAAUAAAUACUUACUCAAACAUUUUUUCAAAUAUUUUUACACCAAAAUUCCUAAAAUAAUUUUCUCAAAAUUCUAAAAAAAAAAAAUUGAAAAAUACCUAUUGGUCACGCGCCUUGCACGUGGACUGAGAGUAAAAGAUAGCGUAUGUGCUUCAUGCGCCGGUCGUCUUUUUCGACUCCAGCACACCAGCAGUGUUGGAUUUUGCUUCUUGCUUGAUCUACCCACUUAGUCGAUCACAAUGGUACCUAGAUUGACUUGAAAGGAACACCGAAAGUGGCCUAACCAGUCGAUCAAAGUCUUAGCCAAAACGUCCACCUAGGUUUUUGACGAAGCUUUGAAUCCUACUCAACCCUACACCAAUGCUCUCCAAACUUUCCAAAAACACUCUACAAUCUUCACGGAACAAAAGCCCCUUAUCCCUUGCCCUCGAUUCAACCCAAAAUGAGAACAAUUUGAGUUUGAAACUAAUGAAACCCUCGUCCCCUUUCGACCCCCUAUUUAUACCCAUUUUCGAGCCCUCAAACGUCCCAUCCUAUCUAAUCUAAGGUCUAUAAAGCUUCUACCUUCCCUAUGUCGACCCAUGACCCUCGUUAAGGCCACAAAAAUUGGCCUCCAAAACCCCAAUUUUAUAGCCAAGACACAGUCGAAAAACCCAUCCAAUCGGUAGUUAACAUGGCCAAUUCUCAGCCAAGGACCAGCCAUGAUGGCCUAAGCCUAGCUUUGAGGCCCCCCAAUCCACUCCCUCGAGUCUCCCAUAGUGGAAAUCGGCUUUGAGAGAGGUGUUGCCGGUAGCUGGUAGUGUUCACACUGCCAGUCUUUUGAAAAUUACACUUCUGCCCCCAUCAAGUCUCAAAAUUUCAUUUUAGUACUUUCCACAUAGUCCCUAGGCUUUUCAAAAUUUCCAUUGAAACCCUCAAGUUCUAGAAUUUUUAUUUACACCCCGAAGAUUUAGGAAAAAUGUCAUUUCGAUUUCCCUCGGUCAAUUUUAAGAAAUUACACUUAGGCUUGAAUGAAUGAUUCGACCGCUAACCCUUUCACUUUGACCUGAAACCACUUCAGGAUUGAUUCUCAUGCAAAAUUUAAUUCCUUUAAGAAUUCUGUUGACUUCUCGGAAGUCUCUCACGACAAUUCAAUUUUUUAGCCUAAACCGUAGCUGUAUCGAAAAUUGAUUCUGAGUCGAUGCUAAAAAUCAUGCCUCGAGACACUCGUUAGGGAGAUACCUAUUUCCUUAGGUAACUAAGCUCCUAGGAUUCUCUCCGGCUGAUUUGGUCACUUUUUCAGGCUAUUCUGAUACCAAUUUGUAUGAAAUUUCGUAUUUCUUUCUAAAUACUUAUUUCAAAAGUAACCCAAAACUUCUGGGUGUUACAAGGGUGUUCAUGUAAUUUAGUGAAACCUCAGGGGUGCCAAGUGUAAUAUACUCUAUUUUAUAAGUGUGUCUUGGCAUACCACUUCUAAUUUAUUGCUACAUGUAGUAUAUUUUUUAAAUUAUAUAUACUUUUGCUCAUAAAAUUUAAAACUUAAAGUUGUAUUUUUAAAUUUAUUGUUGUAUUUACUAUAUACUAUUACAUAUUUUUAUUAGUGUUCACAUUAAGUUAUUUCAUAGCA